GUGCCGAGCGUUAGGCGGAAUCACUGGGCUUAAAGCGUGUGUAGGCGGGCCGUUAAGUGUCUUGUGAAAUCCCCCGGCUCAACCGGGGAAUUGCUGGGCAUACUGGCGGUCUUGAGCAAUCUAGGGGCAGAUGGAACAAGUGGUGGAGCGGUGAAAUGCGUAGAUAUCACUUGGAACGCCAAAGGUGAAGACAGUCGGCUGGGGAUUUGCUGACGCUGAGACACGAAAGCCAGGGGAGCGAACGGGAUUAGAUACCCCGGUAGUCCUGGCCCUAAACGAUGUCGACUAGAUCGUAGGAGCUCUGACGCUUUUACGGUCGUAGCAAAAGUGCUAAGUCGACCGCCUGGGAAGUACGGUCGCAAGGCUAAAACUCAAAGGAAUUGACGGGGGCUCACACAAGCGGUGGAG
rnacentral:rRNA from 1 species